rnacentral:lncRNA from 1 species
GACAGGGCGGGUCUUUGGAAAUGCAGAUGAGUCGUCUCCCGCUGCUGGUCUCCUGGGUUGAACUUUAGUGACUCAGCCACCCUCACCCCACCCCCACCCAUUCCACAGUGAGGGCCGCCUUGUCAGCUGGGAAAGGGGGGGGGGGGACACAGCAUUUCUGUGACUCCCUUUCUAUCUAGUAGACCCUGUUGGUAUUGCAUUUGGCCAAUCCAUUCUCUCUGAACCUACAAACUGUGGAAUUGCCCUAACAGAACGUCCGAAUUUACAGGUCUUGGCCGGAGACCGGAGCCAUGUCUGUGUUAUCCCCACUGUAGACAAUCCUUGCUUCCUCUGGACAUCUGGAGCAGGCCCAAUUUGACUGAGAGCCUUCCCCCACUAAGGUAGUUACAGAUCCAGCCCCACCAUCACCACCAGAGUUGAGUCCAAAUCCAACACUCUAGGCCGGGUAGUGCUGGGACUUUGCCAGCCUCCUGCUGAGGUAGGGCUGGGUGAGUAGGCAGGCUGGAACGGGUGGGGUGGCCGUGUGCUGUCUGAACCCUCCCCAGAGCUGGUCGCUUUUGGUCAUUUCCUCCCUGCAGACUUGCUCUUCCUCCACACAGGUCUGGGGGAGUUUGUGGGAAGCCAGGAGCCCUCUCUUGGUUAUAUGUAGUAGAACAAGUUUUUUUUCUUAGAAGUGAAUUCUCCCCUUGGCAAACUGCAGCCAGCCAGCCUCCUGGGUCGAGAGCCAAGCCAAAAGAUGUCUGAGAGAAGAAACCUGGGGUCCUGCAAAGGUAAGUGGGUCCCAGCCCACUCUCAAUCCCCCUCUCUCUGUGUGAUUGCUAUUCCACACUGGAGUCACCUGCUCUGUGCUUCUGAGGAACCUCACCUCUGGCACAUCAAUGGAAAUUGUCCUUCCCUUUUUAUUUAUUUUUAUUUAUUUUUUAUUUUUUGCCACCCUCACUGGCCACUAAGAGAUAGCCCUAGCUCCUCCUCUCCUGCCUGGUUUUGACAGGACUCACUCCAUUGAGUCCUGUCUCGUCUCUUUGCAGCCCUCCUCCUCCCCCCCCCCCCCCUUCAGCCAGCACUUAGGCCCUCCCUGAUUUAGCCCGUUACCUUGACAACCACUUGGGCCUGUCUCCCUCAUCACCACUGAAAACCUGAAGGUGGUUUUCCAGCUGCGGUACAUUUGCCCAAGUUGGGCACCCCUCCAGCUUCUAUUGGCUCGCCCUCUAUACAGCUGUACCCAAUAUAACAAACACAACCUUCCUGGCCCCUCAGCUGUAGUCUCGAAAUUGAUCUCACUGGUCCCGGGAACUCCGUCAAUACUGCCUCCUCUAGACUGAGCUCCUCACAGGCAGGAACAUGGUUGUUUCUCAAUAAACAAGUUGCAA